AUGGCUCUGAAGAGAAUCCACAAGGAAUUGAGUGACCUGGCUCGAGAUCCCCCAGCNCAGUGUUCAGCAGGUCCUGUUGGAGAUAUGUUUCAUUGGCAGGCUACAAUAAUGGGGCCAAAUGACAGCCCCUAUCAGGGUGGAGUAUUUUUCUUGACAAUUCAUUUCCCAACAGAUUACCCCUUCAAACCGCCUAAGGUUGCAUUUACGGCAAGAAUUUAUCAUCCAAAUAUUAACAGUAAUGGCAGCAUUUGUCUUGAUAUUCUACAGUCACAGUGGUCUCCAGAACUAUUUCAAAAGUACUUUUGUCCAUCUGUUCUCUGUUGUGUGACCCCAAUCCAGAUGAUCCUUUAGUGCCUGAGAUUGCUCGGAUCUACAAAACAGAUAGAGAAAAGUACAACAGAACAGCUCAGGAAUGGACUCAGAAGUAUGUGAUGUAAUUAAAGAAAUUAUUGGAUAACCUCUACAAAUAAAGCUAGGGGAACUCUGAGAGAAAGUCCUUUUGAUUUCCAUUUGACUGCUUUCUAUGAGCCCAUGCCUCAUCUUCCCCUGUGCACAUGUUUACCUGACACAGCAGUGCUGCAUGUUGUACAUACUUGGAACAACAAACUAGAAAUACUGUACUUCUGUACCAACAUUGCCUCCUAGCAGAGAAGUGUGUGUGUNAGAAGCCAGUUCUCCGGGCGUAACCUAGGUGUGAGACUAAAAGCUUUCCUUAUUGACUUGACUUUGGAUAAUGGCAAGAUGUGAGGGGUAGUGGGUAUACAGUGUGUGUUUGAAUGGGAGGAAAAAGCUCCAGUGACCCAUAGGAGAUUGUCCUUAAGUGGAAUCCUCCCAAUCUCAAACAGUCAUAAAAAGCAAGGUGAAGAACGUGAAGCUGUAUUCAUUUCAUCCUGAAGGACCUACAACUUAGGUAAAAGUUAUGACCAAACAGAUUAAACUACAUGCUGUGCUUUAAGGUCUAAGGUUAACGGAUCAACAUUUUAAAUGGACUGGAGCUGUUAGUACAUAAAGUGUGGUGAGCUUUGUUCCCAACACUUCGCAUCUCCCUGCCCUUUCAGCCUUCCUCCUUUUAGCCCCUUUCUAUAAUCUUUGGUUUGUAUGUAG